rnacentral:lncRNA from 1 species
AACUGGGCCUUGGAGUCUGUGGUCAGUCUAGUGAGAAAACUAACAGGAUCAUUGCUCCUGCAGGUAUGUGACCAUGAGCUCCGGUGUCAGUGCAAAGAAGGAUGGGCCCCUCCCGACUGCAGUGACUCUUCAGUGGCCUUCCACUUCUCCAUUGCGGUUGGCGUGCUGUUCCCAGUGGUGGUCAUCUUUGUGGUGGUUGCCAUAGUAAUCCGGCACCAGAGCUCCAGAGGAAAGCAGAAGAAAGUUCAGAAGGCACCAUCUACUGCUGGCACCAGACCACACAAACAGAAGAGGAGACUUCAGGUGGUGAAGGCUGUUCAACCCCAAGAGAUGAGUCAGGCGAAGCUCCCUGUGUCUGAUCUGCCAGUAGAAGACAGUGAACCUCCAGCUUAUUUUUUAAUUACAAAGCCAGAUUUUCCACCACCACCGAUUCCUACAUCUAUAUCCUCAUCUUUUCUCCAUAAAGACACAAAAGCACUUCCCUCUAAUGUUUUCAAGGAUAAGCCAAUGUCUACACCUAAGGGCUCAAAUCUCAAAGUAUGAAGCAACAGCUAAGUAAGAAUUGAUGAAUAAAUGCUCAACUUGAAAGAUUGGACAAUUGGAAUAAAAAAGAAAUACAUUUACUUUCUCACUGGUGUUUGCUCUUGACAGUCAAGGAGGUUAAUAUUUCCUGAUUCAUGUUAUAUUUUGAAAAUAUUAAACAAAAUUUUUCGAGAGAGACUUUGAGAAUCUUUGUAUGAUUUUAAAGUUUCUGUUACCCAUACUCUUAAGAAAGAAGAUGACUCUAAAGAAAUACCUCUGAAGCUUAAAUCUCUAAGAUGAUUUUCCUAGACAACCCUCCUUUUGCACAAUGAUGUUGACUGAUAUUUGUUCAAAUUUUUUGAACACUUUGAUUUUGCUCUUUUGAUAGACAGUAAUUCACUCUCUAAUGAAAACAAAACAAAACCAAACAAAAAUCACAGAAACCUGGGAAAAAUAAGAGAAAAAUGGUCCAUUUUUUAUUAAAUGUGUAGCGACAUCUUGAU